UUUCGCAAUGCCCGAAAGGGUGACGAAGCGACGCCGCGUGGGUGAGGAAGGCCUUCGGGUUGUAAAGCCCUGUCAGGAGUUAAGAAAUGUAGACUCGCUAAUAUCGGGUCUAUUUGACAAAGGCUCCAAAGGAAGCCACGGCUAACUCUGUGCCAGCAGCCGCGGUAAUACAGAGGUGGCAAGCGUUGUUCGGAAUUAUUGGGCGUAAAGAGCACGUAGGUGGAUUUGUAAGUCAGACGUGAAAGCCUUCUGUUCAACGGAAGAGUUGCAUCUGAAACUACAAACCUUGAGUGUAGGAGGGGAGAAUGGAACUUCUGGUGGAGCGGUGAAAUGCGUAGAUAUCAGAAGGAACGCCGGCGGCGAAAGCGAUUCUCUGGCCUAUUACUGACACUCAGUGUGCGAAAGCUAGGGGAGCAAACGGGAUUAGAUACCCCGGUAGUCCUAGCCGUAAACGAUGGGCACUAAGUAGAGGGGUUUU
rnacentral:rRNA from 1 species